rnacentral:rRNA from 1 species
GACGAACGCUGGCGGCGCGCCUAACACAUGCAAGUCGAACGAGCGAGAGAGAGCUUGCUUUCUCGAGCGAGUGGCGAACGGGUGAGUAACGCGUGAGGAACCUGCCUCAAAGAGGGGGACAACAGUUGGAAACGACUGCUAAUACCGCAUAAGCCCACGGGUCGGCAUCGACCAGAGGGAAAAGGAGCAAUCCGCUUUGAGAUGGCCUCGCGUCCGAUUAGCCAGUUGGUGAGGUAAUGGCCCACCAAGGCGACGAUCGGUAGCCGGACUGAGAGGUUGAACGGCCACAUUGGGACUGAGACACGGCCCAGACUCCUACGGGAGGCAGCAGUGGGGAAUAUUGCACAAUGGGGGAAACCCUGAUGCAGCGACGCCGCGUGGAGGAAGAAGGUCUUCGGAUUGUAAACUCCUGUUGUUGGGGAAGAUAAUGACGGUACCCAACAAGGAAGUGACGGCUAACUACGUG